GAGUUUGAUCCUGGCUCAGGACGAACGCUGGCGGCGCGCCUAACACAUGCAAGUCGAACGAGCGAGAGAGAGCUUGCUUUCUCAAGCGAGUGGCGAACGGGUGAGUAACGCGUGAGGAACCUGCCUCAAAGAGGGGGACAACAGUUGGAAACGACUGCUAAUACCGCAUAAGCCCACGGUGCCGCAUGGCACAGGGGGAAAAGGAGCAAUCCGCUUUGAGAUGGCCUCGCGUCCGAUUAGCUAGUUGGUGAGGUAAUGGCCCACCAAGGCGACGAUCGGUAGCCGGACUGAGAGGUUGAACGGCCACAUUGGGACUGAGACACGGCCCAGACUCCUACGGGAGGCAGCAGUGGGGAAUAUUGCACAAUGGGGGAAACCCUGAUGCAGCGACGCCGCGUGGAGGAAGAAGGUCUUCGGAUUGUAAACUCCUGUUGUUGAGGAAGAUAAUGACGGUACUCAACAAGGAAGUGACGGCUAACUACGUGCCAGCAGCCGCGGUAAAACGUAGGUCACAAGCGUUGUCCGGAAUUACUGGGUGUAAAGGGAACGCAGGCGGGAAGACAAGUUGGAAGUGAAAUCUAUGGGCUCAACCCAUAAACUGCUUUCAAAACUGUGUUUCUUGAGUAGUGCAGAGGUAGGCGGAAUUCCCGGUGUAGCGGUGGAAUGCGUAGAUAUCGGGAGGAACACCAGUGGCGAAGGCGCCUAUUGGGCACCAACGGACGCUGAGGGUGGAAAGUGUGGUAGGCUAACAGGAGUAGAUACCGGGUAGUCCACACGCGAGACGAUGAUUACUAGGUGGUGGAGGAUUGACCCCUUCAGUGCGCGAGUAACACAAUAAAGGAUCCACCUGGGGAGUAGGACCGCAAGGUUGAUACUCAAAGGAAUUGACGGGGGCCCGCACAAGCAGUGGAGUAUGUGGUUUAAUUCGACGCAACGCGAAGAACCUUACGUAGUCUUGACAUCCUGUGACGAACGUAGAAAUACGUUUUCUGUUCGGAGCAGAGAGACAGGUGGUGCAUGGUUGUCGUCAGCUCGUGUCGUGAGAUGUUCGGUUAAGUCCCGCAACGAGCGCAACCCUUAUGGUCAGUUAGUACGCAAGAGGAGUCUGGCCAGACUGCCGUUGACAAAACGGAGGAAGGUGGGGAUGACGUCAAAUCAUCAUGCCCUUUAUGAGUUGGGCUACACACGUACUACAAUGGCGUUAAACAAAGAGAAGCAAGACCGCGAGGUGGAGCAAAAGUCAGAAACACACCUCCCAGUUCGGACUGCAGGCUGCAACUCGCCUGCACGAAGUCGGAAUUGCUAGUAAUCGCAGAUCAGCAUGCUGCGGUGAAUACGUUCCCGGGCGUUGUACACAC
rnacentral:rRNA from 1 species